rnacentral:rRNA from 1 species
UGAAACCGUUUAGGGGUAAACCUGAGAAACCCGAAAGGUCGAAGGAAGAAAUUCAUUCGCGUAUCGUUCGAUCGAAGCGGGCGGUUUAGUAGAGGAAAAAGUUUCGGCUUUUUUCACACUGGCCGUUCGUUGUUAAUCGAUUAGCGAACGCGUGCACUUUUCUUCUGGUAGGACGUCGCGAUCCGUCGAUCGUCGAUCUACGAUUCUUGGUGGAGCCCGUUUGCGACGUUUACGCGUACGCAAGCGGACCCAGGUAAUCUGGUCGACUUGUUCGACGGUAUACGAACGGUUGGGGGCCGCUCAUAUCGAGCGUUCGACUUGCGGCAAGCACGUCGGCUAUGUCGGCGAUCGGACCUAGUGCCGGUUCCGACUACCGAUGUCUGUUGGCUGUAAAGUUCUCGAACAGACCCCUUCAAUAUUUGAACCGAUCUGCGACGCUAUAGCUUUGGGUAAUUUCAGGACCCGUCUUGAAACACGGACCAAGGAGUCUAGCAUGUACGCGAGUCAUUGGGAAUUAUUAAACCUAAAGGCGUAAUGAAAGUGAAAGUUUUCCUUGCGGAAACUAAGGGAAGACGGGCGGUUAGCCGUUAAAAGUGGCCGUCCCGCAUUCCCGGGGCGUCUCAUUCUCAUCGCGAGAAGAGGCGCACCAAGAGCGUACACGCUGGGACCCGAAAGAUGGUGAACUAUGCCUGGUCAGGACGAA